GAUGAACGCUGGCGGCGCGCCUAACACAUGCAAGUCGAACGGCACCCCUCCUCGGAGGGCAGCGAGUGGCGAACGGCUGAGUAACACGUGGAGAACCUGCCCCCUCCCCCGGGAUAGCCGCCCGAAAGGACGGGUAAUACCGGAUACCCCGGGGUGCCGCAUGGCACCCCGGCUAAAGCCCCGACGGGAGGGGAUGGCUCCGCGGCCCAUCAGGUAGACGGCGGGGUGACGGCCCACCGUGCCGACAACGGGUAGCCGGGUUGAGAGACCGACCGGCCAGAUUGGGACUGAGACACGGCCCAGACUCCUACGGGAGGCAGCAGUGGGGAAUCUUGCGCAAGGGGGGGAACCCUGACGCAGCGACGCCGCGUGCGGGACGGAGGCCUUCGGGUCGUAAACCGCUUUCAGCAGGGAAGAGUCAAGACUGUACCUGCAGAAGAAGCCCCGGCUAACUACGUG
rnacentral:rRNA from 1 species